rnacentral:rRNA from 1 species
AGAGUUUGAUCCUGGCUCAGAUUGAACGCUGGCGGCAUGCUUUACACAUGCAAGUCGAACGGUAACGCGGGGGCAACCCUGGCGACGAGUGGCGAACGGGUGAGUAAUACAUCGGAACAUAUCCAGUAGCGGGGGAUAACCUAUCGAAAGAUGGACUAAUACCGCAUACGAUCUACGGAUGAAAGCAGGGGACCGCAAGGCCUUGCACUAUUGGAGUGGCCGAUGUCGGAUUAGCUAGUUGGUGAGGUAAAGGCUUACCAAGGCGACGAUCCGUAGCUGGUCUGAGAGGACGAUCAGCCACACUGGAACUGAGACACGGUCCAGACUCCUACGGGAGGCAGCAGUGGGGAAUUUUGGACAAUGGGCGCAAGCCUGAUCCAGCCAUGCCGCGUGAGUGAAGAAGGCCUUCGGGUUGUAAAGCUCUUUCGGUGAAGACGAAACGGUUCGUGCUAAUAACGCGGACUAAUGACGGUACUCACAGAAGAAGCACCGGCUAACUACGUGCCAGCAGCCGCGGUAAUACGUAGGGUGCAGGCGUUAAUCGGAAUUACUGGGCGUAAAGCGUGCGCAGGCGGUUUGCUAAGACAGGUGUGAAAUCCCCGGGCUUAACCUGGGAAUUGCGCUUGUAACUGGCAAGCUAGAGUGUGGCAGAGGGGGGUGGAAUUCCACGUGUAGCAGUGAAAUGCGUAGAUAUGUGGAGGAACACCGAUGGCGAAGGCAGCCCCCUGGGUUAACACUGACGCUCAUGCACGAAAGCGUGGGGAGCAAACAGGAUUAGAUACCCUGGUAGUCCACGCCCUAAACUAUGUCAACUAGUUGUCGGGGAAGAAAUUCCUUGGUAACGAAGCUAACGCGUGAAGUUGACCGCCUGGGGAGUACGGCCGCAAGGUUAAAACUCAAAGGAAUUGACGGGGACCCGCACAAGCGGUGGAUUAUGUGGAUUAAUUCGAUGCAACGCGAAAAACCUUACCUACCCUUGACAUGCUAGGAAGCCCGCAGAGAUGUGGGUGUGCCCGAAAGGGAACCUAGACAUAGGUGCUGCAUGGCUGUCGUCAGCUCGUGUCGUGAGAUGUUGGGUUAAGUCCCGCAACGAGCGCAACCCUUGCCAUUAGUUGCUACAUUCAGUUGGGCACUCUAAUGGGACCGCCGGUGACAAACCGGAGGAAGGUGGGGAUGACGUCAAGUCCUCAUGGCCCUUAUGGGUAGGGCUUCACACGUAUACAAUGGUCGGUACAGAGGGCUGCCAACCCGCAAGGGGGAGCUAAUCCCAGAAAGCCGAUCGUAGUCCGGAUUGUAGUCUGCAACUCGACUGCAUGAAGCCGGAAUCGCUAGUAAUCGCGGAUCAGCAUGUCGCGGUGAAUACGUUCCCGGGUCUUGUACACACCGCCCGUCACACCAUGGGAGUGGGUUCCACCAGAAGUAGUUAGCCUAACCGCAAGGAGGGCGAUUACCACGGUGAGAUUCAUGACUGGGGUGAAGUCGUAACAAGGUA